rnacentral:rRNA from 1 species
GUAAGGAAUAUUGGACAAUGGACGCAAGUCUGAUCCAGCCAUGCCGCGUGAAGGAUUAAGGUCCUCUGGAUUGUAAACUUCUUUUAUAAGGGACGAAAAAAGGCUUUUCUAAGUCGUCUGACGGUACCUUAUGAAUAAGCACCGGCUAACUCCGUGCCAGUAGCCGCGGUAAUACGGAGGGUGCAAGCGUUAUCCGGAUUCACUGGGUUUAAAGGGUGCGUAGGCGGGCAGGUAAGUCAGUGGUGAAAUCCUAGAGCUUAACUCUAGAACUGCCAUUGAUACUAUCUGUCUUGAAUAUUGUGGAGGUAAGCGGAAUAUGUCAUGUAGCGGUGAAAUGCUUAGAUAUGACAUAGAACACCUAUUGCGAAGGCAGCUUACUACGCAUAUAUUGACGCUGAGGCACGAAAGCGUGGGGAUCAAACAGGAUUAGAUACCCCUGUAGUCC